rnacentral:rRNA from 1 species
GAUCUGAAGGAAUACCGGUGGCGAAGGCGGCCCCCUGGACAGAUACUGACACUCAGAUGCGAAAGCGUGGGGAGCAAACAGGAUUAGAUACCCUGGUAGUCCACGCCGUAAACGAUGUCUACUUGGAGGUUGUGCCCUAGAGGGGUGGCUUUCGGAGCUAACGCGUUAAGUAGACCGCCUGGGGAGUACGGUCGCAAGAUUAAAACUCAAAUG